rnacentral:misc_RNA from 1 species
CAAGAUUGGGGAUUUCCAGAUCCCAUUUAAGAAAAUUGCAAUUUCGAAAACUGUGUGUUUAGAGGUAGUAAUUGGGUUAAUUUUUGGCUUGUUUGGUUUCAGACGAACUGGAAGGAAAUUUAGUGAAAUUUUCUUUUCUCAAGUUUAACCUUUAUAGUGUUUAAGGAGAGGAGGUAAGAUCUAAUCUAGGCAUGGUCUAUUUGGUUGUUGAAAGAGUUUAAAAUCUCCUGGUUUCAGUUUCUAAGAGUUAAGAUCUUGAGUAAUCUUGUUUUCUGUAGAUUGGUGAGAAAGUGUGGGAAAAGGCAAGAAAGUGUGAUUUCUGGAAAUUGGGCAUAUUAAUUAACAUCAGAUUUUAGUUAUUGGCUAAUUAAGUUGACAUAUAAAUGAUCAGAUUGAAUUAUUUGUUCUCUUUGUUAAUGUAAAGG